AGCUUCAAAGCCUAGUUUUUGGCAGCAUUAUUUUAAAAUGCUAUGAGUAAUCAGUUUACUUGAAGUUU
rnacentral:tRNA from 1 species